CCUCAGAAUGGUUGGAAAUCAUUCGAAGAGUGCAAAGGCAUAAGGGAGCUUGACUGCGAGACCUACAAGUCGAGCAGGGACGAAAGUCGGGCUUAGUGAUCCGGUGGUACCGAAUGGAAGGGCCAUCGCUCAACGGAUAAAAGCUACCCUGGGGAUAACAGGCUUAUCUCCCCCAAGAGUCCACAUCGACGGGGAGGUUUGGCACCUCGAUGUCGGCUCAUCGCAUCCUGGGGCUGAAGUAGGUCCCAAGGGUUGGGCUGUUCGCCCAUUAAAGCGGUACGCGAGCUGGGUUCAGAACGUCGUGAGACAGUUCGGUCCCUAUCUGUCGCGGGCGUAGGAAAUUUGAGAGGAGCUGUCCUUAGUACGAGAGGACCGGGAUGGACGUACCGCUGGUGUACCAGUUGUUCCGCCAGGAGCACCGCUGGGUAGCCAAGUACGGACGGGAUAAGCGCUGAAAGCAUCUAAGCGUGAAGCCCCCCUCAAGAUGAGAUUUCCCAGUAUGUAAGACCCCUUGAAGACGACGAGGUUGAUAGGUUCGGGGUGGAAGUGCAGUAAUGUACGGAGCUGACGAAUACUAAUCGGUCGAGGGCUUAUCCUA
rnacentral:rRNA from 1 species